rnacentral:rRNA from 1 species
GAUGAACGCUGGCGGCGUGCCUAAUACAUGCAAGUCGAGCGAACGGACGAGAAGCUUGCUUCUCUGAUGUUAGCGGCGGACGGGUGAGUAACACGUGGAUAACCUACCUAUAAGACUGGGAUAACUUCGGGAAACCGGAGCUAAUACCGGAUAAUAUUUUGAACCGCAUGGUUCAAAAGUGAAAGACGGUCUUGCUGUCACUUAUAGAUGGAUUCGCGCUGCAUUAGCUAGUUGGUAAGGUAACGGCUUACCAAGGCAACGAUGCGUAGCCGACCUGAGAGAGUGACCGGCGGCAUUGGCACUGAGGGAAGGCCCAGAAGGGGAAGGUACGAAACAGGGGGAAAUCUUGAAGGAGGGGCGGCCGGCGGAUGAAGAAAGGCCUCGGGCGGGAAAACUGUGUUAGGGGGGAAAAACAUUUGUGAAAGUAACGGAGCGCGUGUGACGGGAACCGAUAAAGAAGCCCCGGCUAACUAAGUG